CUGGCCGCGGACGGGGAUGCGGGACCGGGCGCCUCCCGGCGGCCACCCCUUCCUGCCGCCCCCAAAAGUUGGGGGUUUGCGGCCGGAGGAGCAGCGGGGCUCCCAUGCCGUCCCCGCCGGGGAUAACUCCACGGCUGCCGGGAGCUGUCCGCUGUCGCCCCGGGCACCCUCGGCUGCCGCGGUGUGGGAAGCGAAAGUUGCCUCCCGGCGAGGUGGAGCGCUAGCAUCGUUUUGUUUGAAGUGUGGUUUAAGGUUUGCUGCGGUCCUGCCGAAAGCAGAUCCCAUAGAAUGGGUUUGAGAGGGCUCAUCGCGCCUUAGGGAGAAUUGCUGCUGGUGCAUGCUCAUCAGGUCGCACCGAAGACGGCAUUUUAAUUCUUCGGGUUGUAAGGUGUGCGUUUUAGAAAAUUACCUCCGGAUUAAGAAGGGAAUCAUCCUGUUCAUAGGAAUAAAUAUGCAUAGCACGCCCAGAGGAUAUAAUAUUUUGUUAGGAAGAACUAAAAAAAAGAGCCCGGUCCCGAUUAUGAAACAUCAUGUUCCAUGUUAUCAAGCAUCUGGAUAGAGCAGAGAAUUUCCUGAACUGCUUGUUUUAUGUACAUCUGUCUAUUCAAGUUGCAGAGGAUGCAUCUAUUCCCACAGUAUGAGAGGCUUCUGUACCUUUAACGUUAUUUUUUGUCCAAUUUGGCUUUUUUGAGGUUUUAGUGUGAUAUGACUGAGAAUACAGGAACUGAAGGGUAGCUCCAAAUGUUGCUGCUGACAGAGAUUGCUUUACCUGCUAUGUUGAAAGGAGCGUUGAAAUUGACAAUGGUGGGAAGUAACGGUGAAAGAAAACAAACUGGGUUUAGUCGUGGAGUACUAUCAAGUAUAUAGUUCAUGUAUUUUCACAGUUUUGUUCUGCAGUCCGUUUUCAGUGCUCUUUGUAUCGACCUCAGCAACAGUAAAAUCAGAGAAUAAGAUCUCUAGAAAACGGGGAAGAACUAUAGUAUGGCCACAAAGCCCCUGUGCCAUCAGGAUGAGUUAGGACAAGGACAUUCCAAGUUUCUGUGAUUCCUUUACCUCUCAUUCAUGCUAAAUUCCAGUUUGUAAUUGUAGAGCCUACAAUCACAUCAAGGCUGAUUUUUGCCAUUUCUUCUGGCUUGGAAGACAUCAGACUCUCACAGUGGCACAACCCAGUUUUCCUUUGAUGUCACAGGCAUUAGUGCAUGCUAAUGUCUGCUGCAUUAUCACAAGGCCUAACACCACACAUGAAUAUGAUUUAAAAAAAUAUAUAUUCUUGCUAUUGUAGGAUAGCAAAGCACCAUAACAGCAUCAAAGGCAAAGAGUUUUUAUCAAUUAAUGCAACUCAGUUUAGGUUUCUAAACUAAUAUUUGAUAUUUUGGGAUUAGAUUAGUAGUGUUUAAAUAGUGUUUUAAAAGUGGUUUAACAGUGUUUUUGAAGGAUGAGGAAGACAGUUGCCAAAAGUCUGUCAGGGAUGAAGUGGUUUCUUGAUGUUGAUGUAACUUUUCCUAACAAGUCCAGUGGCUGCAGAAAGUACUGGUGAAUUUCCUAACUUCUGAGUAAUUUCUUUUCUGCACAUUGCUUCCAAAGUUCAGUAAAAUGAGUAGCCUCUUACCCUUGGUAUAGCCAUAUAACCACAGAAAUCAAAAAAUGAAUAUAACUCAACAAAACCCAAGAGAACUGAAAAUGGACUGAAUUAAUACAGGUGCUUUCAUACACACCCCCCAUCUUGUUAAUAAAAUGCUAGCAAAAAGAGCCUGCUUUUAAUGAUAGCUUUAUCUAAAUUCAGGAAUUGAAGGAAAGGAAAUUACUACAAUAAAAAAGUUGCCCAUUGUGUAAACACUUAAAUGUGGAAGGUUAAAAUGGCAGUUACUAAUACUUGGAAUCCUAGUGGCAAAGAAUUUUUUUAAGAUCUUGUGAGGAAACAUAACUUCUUUAAAUUUUCCUGAAGUGAUAUUCUCAGCAUGCACAUCUUGAAAACAUCUUUGCAAGAACUGCUGUUGGAUUUUCCCCAAUAAUUAUUAUAAUGAUAUGUUAACUUUGCUAUCUUAUAUAUUUAGUCUUCUAUUUUGUGUGUAGAAACAUACCAGCAUUAAUAGUAAAUUGCAAAGGAAUGUCUUGUUUCUUCUCUUGAUGGUUUGGGUGAAAAGGAUGGAAGGGGAAUAGGUUUAUUAAUCUGACUUGGUAAACAGACAGCCCUUCCACUUCAUUCUUAAUGGUUUGUUUCCUAUUAUUAAAGAGGGAUUUUCAGAUAAAUAAUAUACUCUGGUCUUAUAAAUUGUUAUUAUAACCAUGUUGGGAUUAAUCUUUUUUGGUCUUGUCAAACAGAAAGAAAUAAAUACAUUUUUUUAUAUA